rnacentral:rRNA from 1 species
GUGGGGAAUAUUGGACAAUGGGCGAAAGCCUGAUCCAGCCAUGCCGCGUGUGUGAAGAAGGUCUUCGGAUUGUAAAGCACUUUAAGUUGGGAGGAAGGGCAGUAAGCUAAUACCUUGCUGUUUUGACGUUACCGACAGAAUAAGCACCGGCUAACUCUGUGCCAGCAGCCGCGGUAAUACAGAGGGUGCAAGCGUUAAUCGGAAUUACUGGGCGUAAAGCGCGCGUAGGUGGUUCGUUAAGUUGGAUGUGAAAGCCCCGGGCUCAACCUGGGAACUGCAUCCAAAACUGGCGAGCUGGAGUACGGUAGAGGGUGGUGGAAUUUCCAGUGUAGCGGUGAAAUGCGGAGAUAUAGGAAGGAACACCAGUGGCGAAGGCGACCACCUGGACUGAUACUGACACUGAGGUGCGAAAGCGUGGGGAGCAAACAGGAUUAGAAACCCCGGUAGUCC